rnacentral:rRNA from 1 species
UGGGGAAUUGUUCGCAAUGGGGGAAACCCUGACGAAGCAACGCCGCGUGGAGGAUGAAGGCCUUCGGGUCGUAAACUCCUGUCGACCGGGACGAACGCUAUUGGGCCCAAUACGCCCGAUAGUCGACUGUACCGGUGGAGGAAGCCACGGCUAACUCUGUGCCAGCAGCCGCGGUAAUACAGAGGUGGCAAGCGUUGUUCGGAAUUACUGGGCGUAAAGGGCGCGUAGGCGGUCCUGUCAGUCCCUUGUGAAAUCCCCCGGCUCAACUGGGGAACUGCAAGGGAUACAGCAGGGCUUGAGUUCGGGAGAGGGAAGCGGAAUUCCGGGUGUAGCGGUGAAAUGCGUAGAUAUCCGGAGGAACACCGGUGGCGAAGGCGGCUUCCUGGACCGAUACUGACGCUGAGGCGCGAAAGCUAGGGGAGCAAACGGGAUUAGAUACCCAGGUAGUCCCUGAGCGGGCUGGCAAGGCGCAU